rnacentral:ncRNA from 1 species
GUAGCAGUCACCGCAAGGUGCCCGCCCUCGAAGGCGGUCCAACUUUCGCGGUACGCCCAGCGUGCCGCUCCCGGCCUAGCCGGACUUUACAAACCCGCCGACCCGAUAGCGUCGGC